AACCUUAUCCUCUUCCUCUCUCUCUGAGAUGGAUUAGAAUCUGGAACCGAAUCAGCAACAUCCAUCAGAUUUGAAAUCACUGAAAUCAAAAAAUGAAGAGGGAAGAGACAGAGAGAUUAGGAUACCUUCGUCUUCUUUCAGAUCUUGAUGGAGUCUCAAGAGAGCUUUUGCUCCUUGGCCUGAUGCUCCAUCAGGACAUUGGAGUCAAUUAGGGCACAAUUUUUGGUCAAAAUUAGCCGGUUUGAGUGAGAAAAAUGACCUUUCGCUUCCAGCGGAUAGCGUCGGAAUUCUGAGAAGGAGAUCUUUGAAGACGCUUUCAUCGGAGAAGUGAGAUCGUCACCACCAUUCUGAGCGAGUCGUCCGGCGGUGCUGAUUUUGCGGCCGCUCGCUGCUUGACAUUCUCCUCCAUAGCUGUGUAACUAAGAAGUAACAGCAAAGGAACCUGUCAUAGGAAGUGAGCAGAGAAGAAAUCUUAAAGAUAUCAGGAGAAUUCGUAGGAGGAAGACGAAGAGAAAUGAGGAGCUUUGCAGUGAGCUCCUGGUGUUUGUCGCCGCCGUUGGACUUCCACAAGGUUAUGUGCCCUCCAUGAAAGAGCUCUCGCAGCACUGAAGGAAUAUUGGUGGAAAUAAAGUUUCUUUGAAUGCUGUACCUCAAAAGGAAGUUAAAUCCCAUCGGAGUUUAGAGCAAAACAAGGAGCUGCAAGGCAAUUUGAAAAUAGAAACUAGGCUGAUUGUUGAUGGUAGUGUGAAGAUGCCACAAAACCUUCCCUUGAAGCGAAAAUCAUUUGAGGUCAUAUAUAUACUUAAACCCGCAAUUUAGUGUAGAUCUUUUCCCAUGUUUGAGAAUGUAUCAUGCGUAUAACAUUCCAAAUCGGAGCUUCUACUUAUUCUGUUCAAAUACUUUAUGAAAUUUUUAAUUGCUAUUUCCAAAUUUCUUAUAAAUCCACGUUAACUUUGCAAGGAUUAAAUCCAGGUUCAAGAUCCUUGAAGUUUCUAAAACGUCUCUCUAACUAAAGGAGCUUAUGAAAUAAAGGCACGCCCAUGGUUUAAAGGGUUAGAAUAGGAUAAACUAUAUCAGAUGGAAGCUGCUUUUACACCAGAGGUUAACAAUGAGUUAGAUACUCAAAACUUUGAGAAGUUUGAAGAGUUGGGGGCUUCAGUAGAAACUCCACCAAAAUCUGGUCCAUGGAGAAAGGCAAGUACUAUAUAAUUUACUAAGCAUCUUUUAUUUUUCCCACUUAAGACAGCCUUUUCUUUUGUAGACUGUUGACUUGUGAAUUAUUACCUUAUAUUCAUUUCGAAUGCUGUCAUCUAUGGAUACAAAUUUUGUUGGUUAUACGUAUUGUCAAUGAACAUCACAUGCUUGGGAUUGGUAAGUAUUGAUGCAUCUGAAUCAAUAGCAUGAUUAUUCUUGAAUAUCCGUUGAAAUCUCUAAUGAAGAUUCUUACCGAUGAAUGAAAACUUUUGAUGCGGCUGAGUUGAAGAAAAAGACUAACAAGCCAAAGACACCUUCUGUUAAGGCAUUAUUUAGUAUGUGCUCCUUGCAUUCAGUGUUUUAGGAAAGUGAAGCAAUUUUUUGAACUGCUCAUUAUUACUAGCUAUGAUAGGUCUUUUGUUUCAGAUGAGUGGAGCCACUUUGUUCAAUCUCUCUAUUCUUACAUCUGAUAUGUGGGUUUUGGUUGUUCGCAUCUUGUUCUACCACCAGGAGGUACUUUAUUGAUCUGAUAAUUCUUUAGUGAGUCUCAUUCUUUUCUUCUUUCAAUUGUUUCCAAUGGUAUCAUGGUCUUUUAGUACUUCAGAUUUUCUUAAUUUUCUUUAUACAAUUAUACUAUAUCUAAAUAUUGAAUUACUGAGUUUCCAUUUGCUGCUCUCACUCAGUUUCAUUCUUGUGAAUUUUGCAAGAUGAAUAUUAAGUUCUUGAAUCAUUUUUUGGGUUUAGUCAUUGUUGAUUUAGGUAAUAGAAAAAAUGGUAGGUGCUUAUGAGGCGAUCUCUGUUGCUAUCUAUCAUUUUAUAAUAUGCGGCUUCUCUUAUGUUGUUGCUUGUCUAUACAUUGUUUCAGUCUUAGUGCUUUGUGACUUAUGUGAGUAUUGAUGUCAUCCAUUUCAAAGAAGGCUUGCAGCUGUGGGGAGGAAGAGCCUUAGUACUGAUGCUUAAUUUUUGAUGUGUAACUAUCAUAUCUUUGUAAUAGUUUUAUUUGUUAGCUUAGUUUUAAAGUUUGCUACUUUGAAUGGUGUAUCUAUAAUGAUAUUGAACUCGUUUGAGGCAUUGAAUAUAAAUACAAGAUU